UGUAUUUUGGCUUACAAACUGUUAUGAAAACAAGAAAGAAAAAAAAACUUUGACAGCUGCAGCAGCCACACAUAGAAAUAGUAUUUUGCAGACAGAUAAACUUUCUAAUGCAAGACUUUGGGCAUUUAAAACUAAUUCUAUCUAUAAUAAGACAUUAAAAGUCAGCUUUUCAAUUUGGAGACUUGCUUGAAAAACUACCGCAAUUAGAUCACUUUCCGAUAAAUUGUCACAGGGGAACUGUGUUUGUAAAAAGCCUGUUGAGCACUUUCUUUGGGCAGUACAUAGAAUUGAUGUAUUUAGCAGGAUGUAACAGACCUAAUAUAUGACUUACAUUGAUCGUUCCAAAAUGCUGUACUAUUAUUAUAAUAAGAUACCUGAAUUCUAAAAUAAAGUUCCCCUUUAAUAGGUUUUGCUAUAGUGUGCUAAAUACCACACUGAAUUUAUUAGAAUUUUUUAUUACAUCGAUGAAUUAUUCAUGGGAAGGCCUUUGAUCCAUUUUGUAUGUUUUAGUAGCUUAUUGAUGUAAUUCAAUAAUGUGCCUCUUAAUGCAAAUAUGAACUUCCUUCUGUUGCAAUUCCACUACAGGAUGGGGGAAGGGAGCGGAUCCAAGCACCGAAAUAAUUACAAGUAUUUUAGUAACUCCAAUUAUAAUCUGGGGGGAAAAAUAGACAUUGAAGGAGUAUGUUGCAUUUUUCUAAGAAAUGGAGGCAGUUCUGACCAGUACAGCUGCUCUGUCUCCUUAUUGAGAAUUAGAAAGUGACCUGCAUUUAUCCAUUAUAAUGAAACAGAUGACUAGUUUUGAGCUGCCACUAAAAAUGUAAGAAUGAGCUGCACAACAGAGACUUAAGCUGUUAUAGCUCCUAGUAUUUUUACGACGUUGCUCCCAGCACACUCAGCAAGAUAUCGUUGGACAGCAAAGUUCCUAGAAUGCAAUACAAUUGCAAACAUUCAAGCAGUCCAUCAUGUGUAUACAGAAUACUAGCUGAGAGAGUUACAUUAGCCAGCUGCAGACUGUGUUUGUAGAAACUUUAAAUAACGUAUAUGUUCAUGCAGAUAUUCCGCUGUUAUGUAAAACUUAAAAGAAAGUCACAGGUGUAAUCCGAUGAGAGAAAGUCUUAAAGACUGAGUUACACUGAUAAUCUAGCCAAACUCCCUGUAAUCUUGAGGGAUUAGUUAAACCUCCCAGAUAUGAGCAGAGGCAGUUAGUUCUAGGAAACCAGAAUUAGGACUAGACCCACAAAGAAAAUGCAAUGCUUGGGUUUUUAAUGUCAAAAUAGCCUAGCUAAAAAAUAUAGUGAUAUUAUUGUUUUGGUUUCAUUUUAAUACAUUCGGUUUUCAGUUUGCUACAAUUUGCUCUUCGGUGGAAAAAAAAUUGCAAUAGCUCAGGUCUCUGAAAACAUUGCAAAUUAGAGCAUGCUAAGAAAAAAACAAUCUACGUUUUAACCCCUUAAGGACCAAACUUCUGGAAUAAAAGGGAAUCAUGACAUGUCAUGUGUCCUUAAGGGGUUAAAGAUGAAAAAAAAUCAAAAUGUAAAGUGUGUGCCAACAUUGUAGAUGCAAAUUUUUGAUGCUUUGAUGUGUUUUCGUUUUUUUAACUAAACACCGAAUAGCAUAAAUUUGAAAACCGGAUUGCAAAAUUUAGGGAAAAAGUGCUGAUUUGAAAAAAAAAAAAUCCUCAACUUAAUUAAGGCAAUAGCUUGGCUAUUGAAUAUUGCAAUAUUGGCUUUUCAUUCAUUCCGAUUUGUUGUUUAUUGAAUGAACCUAAAUACUUAAUUGUAUUGAAUUAAAAACCAAAUUGUGCAUUGUAUAUGGGCAUUAACCUUUGUGCUGGUAUAGUUUGAACAAAGCGAGAGCAGUGGCAACAGAUUCAUGUUUUUUUAGCUCAAUAGAUUCAGUUUUGAGGAUGUGUUUAAAGUCGAUUCCAUUUUUUUCUUCCAGACACUUGUGCUUUGAAUCCCCUAUUGUUCUUCUUAAAACAACAUUUAAUGUGAAUUUAUUAUGGUCAUUCUAUUGCUGCCAUGUUAUGAACCCAAUGAAGGAAUGAUUUGACUGCUGCUUGUUUGUUAAGUAUUUGCCUUUGUAAACAUUGAUCUGUAUCCAUACGACAUUCAGGACAUCCCUAUGCAUUUUGUUUUGUGCAGAAAUCUCUAAUUUUAGAGAUUAUUGAGUAAACCCGGAUUGUCCUUCUUUUGCCCCAGAUACUACUGGGCAACAUUUUUUUGCAUGACCAGGACGUUUACGAACUUCUAAGCAAAGUACUUCUUUCCUGGAUGUUACGAUGUAAAGCAUGUACGAAUUCUAGUCUAUUUUUUUAUCAUUUUCAGAUUUAUUUAUCUACUUGUCUAGUGUUUCUGGUAAAUGAACAGAAUCUAUACAAGAGUUUUAAAUUAUUAUUUUUUUUAUAU